GUAAGUCUAAGAUUAACGAUGUCAGGCAAAAUGUUUUUCAUCUCAGAUUUCCUGUCUUUACUAGCUUCUUUGCCCAGUGACGGGUGAUUUUGGAAAGAGUUAACAAAUGACAUCUCUGUUUACAGUUUUUGAGAGACAUUAGAAGUUCACUCCUCAGGGAUCCCCUGAAUCUGCAACAACCUUAGCACAGGCCAACUAGACCACAGGUAUCUUCACUUUUACCUAACAACAUAUCUGUUGUAAUUCAAUUAAGCUUACAGCAAGAUGGCCCUAUUCUUGUUGUUUUAUAGCAGCCACAAGAACUCCUGUUAAACUGCUUUCAAACAUUAAACUUGUCUGUACACUGUUUGGAGAAUUCAUUUCAACCCUAAAGACAUUGAAAACAGGAUAUGACAACAUGUUGGAGUGAAAGCUGUGUUGAUACUUGAGGAUCUGGUAUAAAUCAAAUUUCAGCUCUGGUAAUCAGUUCAGUUUGAGCCUUUUUUCAAAUGCACAACUUGUGUUUAAUUCUGUGGGAUGUAUUUUAGUUGCUGCUCUGUCUGCAAGCAGAGAGGCUAUAAUUGUAUAUUUUUUAUUGUAAAAUAAAAAUAGCCAGCUGUUUUAUUUAGCCAUAA